AUUGAACGCUGGCGGCAGGCCUAACACAUGCAAGUCGAACGAGUGGCGGACGGGUGAGUAAUGUCUGGGAAACUGCCCGAUGGAGGGGGAUAACUACUGGAAACGGUAGCUAAUACCGCAUACCAUCGGAUGUGCCCAGAUGGGCUUAGCUAGUAGGUGGGGUAAUGGCUAACCUAGGCGACGAUCCAUAGCUGGUCUGAGAGGAUGACCAGGCACACUGGAACUGAUACACUGUCCAGACUCCUACGGGAGGCAGCAGGGGGGAAUAUUGCACAAUGGGCGCAAGCCUGAUGUAGCCAUGCCGCGUGUGUGAAGAAGGCCUUCGGGUUGUAAAGCACUUUCAGCGGGGAGGCGUUACCCGCAGAAGAAGCACCGGCUAACUCCGUGCCAGCAGCCGCGGUAAUUC
rnacentral:rRNA from 1 species